rnacentral:rRNA from 1 species
AGACCCGAAACCCGGUGAUCUAGCCAUGGGCAGGUUGAAGGUUGGGUAACACUAACUGGAGGACCGAACCGACUAAUGUUGAAAAAUUAGCGGAUGACCUGUGGCUGGGGGUGAAAGGCCAAUCAAACCGGGAGAUAGCUGGUUCUCCCCGAAAGCUAUUUAGGUAGCGCCUCGUGAAUUCAUCUCCGGGGGUAGAGCACUGUUUCGGCUAGGGGGCCAUCCCGGCUUACCAACCCGAUGCAAACUGCGAAUACCGGAGAAUGUUAUCACGGGAGACACACGGCGGGUGCUAACGUCCGUCGUGAAGAGGGAAACAACCCAGACCGCCAGCUAAGGUCCCAAAGUCAUGGUUAAGUGGGAAACGAUGUGGGAAGGCCCAGACAGCCAGGAUGUUGGCUUAGAAGCAGCCAUCAUUUAAAGAAAGCGUAAUAGCUCACUGGUCGAGUCGGCCUGCGCGGAAGAUGUAACGGGGCUAAACCAUGCACCGAAGCUGCGGCAGCGAACGUAUCACCCAAGACAACUUUACGGAGUUGACGAUUGACGGAGCGAAGCGACGUCAAAGCGUUCAUUAAAGUCGAGUUGGCUUAGGGAUACGUUCGUUGGGUAGGGGAGCGUUCUGUAAGCCUGUGAAGGUGUGUCGUGAGGCAUGCUGGAGGUAUCAGAAGUGCGAAUGCUGACAUAAGUAACGAUAAAGCGGGUGAAAAGCCCGCUCGCCGGAAGACCAAGGGUUCCUGUCCAACGUUAAUCGGGGCAGGGUGAGUCGACCCCUAAGGCGAGGCCGAAAGGCGUAGUCGAUGGGAAACGGGUUAAUAUUCCCGUACUUGGUGUUACUGCGAAGGGGGGACGGAGAAGGCUAUGUUGGCCGGGCGACGGUUGUCCCGGUUUAAGCGUGUAGGUGUGUGUUCCAGGUAAAUCCGGUUCACUUUAACACUGAGGCGUGACGACGAGGCACUACGGUGCUGAAGCAACAAAUGCCCUGCUUCCAGGAAAAGCCUCUAAGCAUCAGGUAACAUCAAAUCGUACCCCAAACCGACACAGGUGGUCAGGUAGAGAAUACCAAGGCGCUUGAGAGAACUCGGGUGAAGGAACUAGGCAAAAUGGUGCCGUAACUUCGGGAGAAGGCACGCUGACACGUAGGUGAAGUGAUUUACUCAUGGAGCUGAAGUCAGUCGAAGAUACCAGCUGGCUGCAACUGUUUAUUAAAAACACAGCACUGUGCAAACACGAAAGUGGACGUAUACGGUGUGACGCCUGCCCGGUGCCGGAAGGUUAAUUGAUGGGGUCAGCGCAAGCGAAGCUCCUGAUCGAAGCCCCGGUAAACGGCGGCCGUAACUAUAACGGUCCUAAGGUAGCGAAAUUCCUUGUCGGGUAAGUUCCGACCUGCACGAAUGGCGUAAUGAUGGCCAGGCUGUCUCCACCCGAGACUCAGUGAAAUUGAACUCGCUGUGAAGAUGCAGUGUACCCGCGGCAAGACGGAAAGACCCCGUGAACCUUUACUAUAGCUUGACACUGAACAUUGAGCCUUGAUGUGUAGGAUAGGUGGGAGGCUUUGAAGUGUGGACGCCAGUCUGCAUGGAGCCGACCUUGAAAUACCACCCUUUAAUGUUUGAUGUUCUAACGUGGACCCGUAAUCCGGGUUGCGGACAGUGUCUGGUGGGUAGUUUGACUGGGGCGGUCUCCUCCUAAAGAGUAACGGAGGAGCACGAAGGUUGGCUAAUCCUGGUCGGACAUCAGGAGGUUAGUGCAAUGGCAUAAGCCAGCUUGACUGCGAGCGUGACGGCGCGAGCAGGUGCGAAAGCAGGUCAUAGUGAUCCGGUGGUUCUGAAUGGAAGGGCCAUCGCUCAACGGAUAAAAGGUACUCCGGGGAUAACAGGCUGAUACCGCCCAAGAGUUCAUAUCGACGGCGGUGUUUGGCACCUCGAUGUCGGCUCAUCACAUCCUGGGGCUGAAGUAGGUCCCAAGGGUAUGGCUGUUCGCCAUUUAAAGUGGUACGCGAGCUGGGUUUAGAACGUCGUGAGACAGUUCGGUCCCUAUCUGCCGUGGGCGCUGGAGAACUGAGGGGGGCUGCUCCUAGUACGAGAGGACCGGAGUGGACGCAUCACUGGUGUUCGGGUUGUCAUGCCAAUGGCACUGCCCGGUAGCUAAAUGCGGAAGAGAUAAGUGCUGAAAGCAUCUAAGCACGAAACUUGCCCCGAGAUGAGU